GAAUAGCCCUGUGAAGGCUCUUGCUGGAGAUCAAAUAGCUGGUUUAGUACAAAGGUUAUGGUGAUUGCUACUUUUGGCAUGUAAAUAACAUCUUCCCCCGCAGAGAUGCUGGAAGGAACCCAGGAGCACUUGGAGCAGCCCCCAAGACCCUGGGAGGAGCCCCAGAGCAUCAGGAGUGACCUGAGAGGACCCUGGGCAGACACGUACAUGGCUCAUCCCCCACACUGGAAGCCAGAAUGCAGGAGGUUUAUGCAGUUUGGUUUGAGAUAGCUGAGUAAUGCACAGGCUUUAGGGUCCAGAUUUAUCCCACCUAAUUAUAGACAUUGAUUUCAAAAGCUAACUCGGGGCUGUGCUCAUACCAGAGUCAGCGGAAAGGGAUGGCUGUGCCCAUUCCAGCUCUGCAUAGCACUCUUAACACCACCUUUCUGCUCUCUGUAAAGGUGCUUAAAAUGACCAAAUCCAAACUCUCAGUAUCUCUGAGGUAUCAAAGGCAGCCAGGAUGAAUCUGGAUCAGACUUGCUGAAGAUUUCAUACAAGGCUGUAAUCAUUCAGUAAAGACAGCUUUUCCUCCAGGAUGCAACGCCGUCCCUUCAGAGUAACAUUAAAAAGGAAUUCUGGCUUAUUCCUAAUUACAAAGAGACUGUGGAACAUCUUGUUUGUGUUUUGCUGUCUAGGAAAGCACACUCAGCAAAAAUUCUCAUUGAGACAUACUCAGAACAGCAUUAGCCAGCUCCUGUGCUCAUGGAAAACCAUUCCCAGAAUGGAGCAGGGAGAACCACUGCAGGGCUGGCUGGAGGUUUGCUGGUACAAGCGCUGCUGCAGUUAAUGCAGAUCCACAGGAAAUGACUAUUCUAUUUUAAAUACUUUUGUGUUUUUUAAAAUGGAAGUGAAAUGCCAGUUCUGAGCUGUCUGUGAGGAGGAGCACAGCCAAGCUGCCAGGAAUCUCCAUGGAGAGCUGCUGGAGCUGUGACUGUCUUACCCUGUGACUUCUAAUGCUGUGGCAACCCAGCAACCGGAUUAGUGUGUAGCCGUAGGUGAGCUAGGGAAUAACAAGGCAGGUUUCUGCCAGGACCUUGUCUCACAUGAAGCAUUCCUUGAGAGGCAAAGCUCUGUAUGAAACAUUGACGACUGGGCAAAUCUGGGGAUCAAAAAAGAGCAUUCCAUGGUCCUGCCUGAGCUCAAUGCUGAAGUGCAUUCCUGGUUCUCUUUGGUUUUAGAGGCACUGCUGCACAUUGCCAGCUAUGGUUGGAAAGCAGUUGGGGUAGCAGAGGAGAGAAGAAUCCUACCCAUAUGGGAAAGUAAAAUCUGAAGCUCUGAGUUUGAGAGGGACACUGCAGAGUGUAUGUGAGUAGAAGCCUGCCUCCAGAAUGGAAGAGCUUAUGGUGUUGGAGUCGUCCCAGGUUUAUGACAACACUUAUGACCUGGGUAAGCUUGCCUGAAUCCCUCCUACCUUCUUCAGAUGGUUGGAGCAAAGAACACAUCAAAGAUGUAGACAUGUCUUUCAUCAACUGAAUACCAGCAGCCAGGUUAUCUGAAGUCAUUUUCUGUCUGCCUUCCACUGGGGAGAAAGUGCCUUCAGGGUAUCUCAUUGUGUACCCCGAAAGUACACAGUAAAACAGCUCUGGAGUAAACAGAGGCAAACCCAGCACCCCCCAUCCUCCUCACUGGGACGUGCUGUAUGCACAAUAACACCCCCCUGUGAUCUCUUGCCAAGAAUAACACAGACAGUCUAUUAAAACAUCUUUAAUAGCAUGAUGUAACUAAAAAGAUCUAAUGUGCAACUCCAAGAAA